GACGGAGGAGGCAAGCGUUAUCCGGAAUUAUUGGGCGUAAAGCGUCCGCAGGUGGCCCAUCAAGUCUGCUGUUAAAGCCCAGGGCUCAACCCUGGAUCAGCAGUGGAAACUGAUGAGCUUAGAGUGCGGUAGGGGUAGAGGGAAUUCCCGGUGUAGCGGUGAAAUGCGUAGAGAUCGGGAAGAACACCAGUGGCGAAAGCGCUCUACUGGACCGCAACUGACACUCAUGGACGAAAGCUAGGGGAGCGAAUGGGAUUAGAUACCCCAGUAGUCCUAGCCGUAAACGAUGGACACUAGGUGUUGCGCGUAUCGACCCGUGCAGUGCCGGAGCCAACGCGUUAAGUGUCCCGCCUGGGGAGU
rnacentral:rRNA from 1 species